rnacentral:rRNA from 1 species
UACGUAGGGGGCAAGCGUUGUCCGGAUUUAUUGGGCGUAAAGAGCGUGUAGGCGGUUUGGUAGGUCCGCUGUGAAAACUCGAGGCUCAACCUCGAGACGUCGGUUGAAACCGUAUGGCUAGAGUCCGGAAGAGGAGAGUGGAAUUCCCGGUGUAGCGGUGAAAUGCGCAGAUAUCGGGAGGAACACCUGUGGCGAAAGCGGCUCACUGGACCAUAACUGACGCUGAUGCACGAAAGCUGGGGGAGCAAACAGG